CUUGAGGCAAAACCAUAUCAUUGCUUAGUUUUGACUAUGUUCUUUUGAUCAUUGUGAGAAAGCAUCAUUGUAAGAUGUACAAGAAACGUGUUGUGGUGCAUUAUCCCCUUCUCUACCACCUAAAAUCUAUUUUACACGAUCAUAAGGACCAAGGUGUUUUAAGCAUCAGGUAAGGAAUUUGUUGACAAUGAUGUGAGAGAUAGAGACAUGCAACAUACCGGUAUUCAAAAGACGUGAUGUUCUUCUUUUGCAUUUGACAAUAUUCAUUUAGUCUGAACUCCAUAUUUGAGCAACUUAGAAUCUCCACCUUCAUUAGGAUUGCAGGAAGUUGGCUUCUUGGAAAGACAUGGAAAGGGAGCAUCUAGAAAUCUGAAAGAAUUCCAGAGGCUUGUUGCUACUUUUGAAUCAUUCCAAUCAAUAGCAACUCCAAAAGAUAUAUACAAAUCUAUCCCUGGAAAAGAGAUGUGUCCUGUGCAUAUGCAACCAUCUCUCUAAUAGACUCGGGAUUGUGCAUCCUCAUGGUAGUUUCAUAUAUAUUGCACCAUAUGAAUUGUAGAUAUCCAACUACCAAUAUCACUACACCUGAAUGAACUAGGAGUUAUGCUGAAAGUGAAUUUGGACAACCCAUCAUCGAAAGAAUCCUGUAGGAAUACACCAAAAAGAAAAUCUUAUUAACAUAAAUGAAUUCAUCCCGCUAAUGGAUAAAGUUGCCUAAAAAAUUAAAUUGGGAGAGAUAGAAAUAUUGAUGCUUACAUGGGACUGUGAGAGGGACCAACAAGUGGAACAAACAUUGAAUAGUAAAUGUAAAACCAUAAAGCUCGUAACUGUUGUCAAAAGCUGCUCUCUACUGAAGUUUUUUUAACAAUAAAGGUAAGUAGAAAAUUCACCUAAUAGCUCCACUUGUAGGAAAUUUCAAUGGUGUGAAACUAGGAUAUGGUGAACUCACUUUUGCUAAUGCAGUGAACCAUUAUGGAUAAAAAAUGAAUCUCACCAUCAGUUUUCACAUAGGAGAUGUGGGCUCUCUUUGGCCCAUUUCUCAGUAUUGGAUCUAAGAGUUUUGUCUCUCAUAUAUGGUUCCACUUGCCAAAUACAAUGGAGCUUAGCUGAUGACAACACAUUCAGAAAAAUGCAAGAAUUCCAAAGACAUGUUUUGUGCUAUCAUGAAUCAUUCCAAUCAAUAAGGAAUCGAAGUGCUAUAAUUUUGAAUUGUCUUAGGGAACAUACCCCAAUUCAAUCUUGCGGAAGUAAACUGUCUUGAGCACCAACUCAAUUCUGAGAUCUUUGGAAGACUUGAGACACCAAUUCAAUAAAAAAUGCUAGUUGUUUUUGUGGUAGAUUGUCUUCCUCCACUAAUACUGGGGAAAAUGCUUUUGAAAACCAUUAAUCUGAAAAUUACAGAGGAAAAUGAGAUUAUGUUGUUAUUGUAUCUCCAAUCUCCUUGACAUAAAUAGAUAUUUCCUUGCAACCAACAAUUUCUAAUUCUAUCACUUCUAUUCUAGCAUGUGAUUUAGGAAGAGAAUUAAGGUUCAGAAUAUUGCCAACAUGCAAGGAAUUGACAAAGGCCAAGUGGGCAGCCAUAAUAGUUAGUUCACAAACAAAUGACACCAUUGGAAGUGGAACACAAAACAUAAACUUCAAAAAUAAAACAUGUAUCCCACAAUCAUAAAUACCAAGGUGUUUAAGCAUCAAGUAAGGCAUCUCUUGACAAUGAUGUGAGAGAGAGACAUGCAACAUACCAGUAUUCAAGAGAACUAGUAUUCUUCUUUUGCAUUAGGCAACAUUCAUCUAUUCUACACUCCAAAUUUUAGCAACUCAGGAUCUCCACCUUCAUUAGGAUUGUAGGAAGCUGGCCUCUUGGAAACACAUGAGAGAACAUUUAGAAAUCUAAAAGAAUUCCAGAGACUUGUUGUUGCUUGAAUUGUUAAUCAUUCCAAUCAUAAAUACCAAGGUAUUUCAGGAUUAGGUAAGGCAACUCUUGGCAAUGAUGUGAGAGAUAAAGCCAAGCAGCAUACUAGUAUUAAAGAGAAGUAGUAUUCUUCUUUUGCAUUCAACAACAUUCAUCUACUGUACACCCCAAAUUUUAGCAACUUAGGAUCUCCACCUUCAUUAGGAUUGUAGGAAGCUGGCCUCUUGAAAACACAUGAGAGGACAUUUAGAAAUCUCAAAGAAUCCCAAAGACUUGUUGUUGCUUUAAUUGUGAAUCAUUCCAAUCAGUAACAACCUCAAAGCCCUACAUACGAUUUUUAACUAUCAACCUUCUUACCUUGAAUGAAAAACCUAUCCAUAGGAAAGAGGUGUCUUGGGCAUGCAACCAUCAAUUAUUAGCUAUCGAAAAGGCUUGAAGUUGUGCACCCACUUGGUAGUUUCUAAUUCAUUAAACCACAUAACUUCUAGAUAUCCAAUUGGCACGUCAUUACAUCUGAAUGUAAGUGAAUAGGAAGUUAGACAACCUUUCACAAAAAGAAUCCUGUAAGAAUACACCAAACAAAACUUCUUGUUAACAUAAAUGAAUUCACUCAGUUAAAUUAUUGUGUGAAAAUUUAAAUUGGGAUAAAUAAAAAUACCGAUGCUUACAUGGGACUGUGGGAGGACCAACAAGAGGAAUAGACUUUGAAUAGCAAAUGUGAAGCCAUAAAGCUUGAAAUUGUUGUCAGACGCUGCCCCCUAGCCAAGUUUUCAACAAAAAGGUUCAAUGUAGGGAUUCUCUAGUAGUUGAACUUGUAGAAAAUUUCAAUAGUAUGACUUUAUACUUGUAAUAAGAAGAUAAAUUAUGUGUUGGGAAUAAAUGAAACUUACUAAAUAUAUGGAUAGGAUAGGGUGAACUCUCUGUGUUUCCAUUUUUGGAAUCUAACGGAUCAAAGAUGGAUCUCUCCAUCUAUUUCCAAAUAGGAGAUGUGGGCAAUCUUGAAUUGAUGUCUCAUCAUUGGAUUUGGAACUGAUGUAUAGCUCUGAAACCAUGAUAGGGUUCUCCUUCAGUUGUCAAAUACAACUGGAGCUUAGGUGAGGUCUUGGUGAUAUAGAAAAGUCAUGGAUUCUAGAAUCUUUACAUGAAAAUAUAAAUGAGAUACAUUGGAAGAAAGCCCAGGCCUUGGUCAUCUGAGAAGAAACACAUCUUAAAUAUCCUAUCAAUCAUGAUGAGUUUUUUUAGAAUCAUGAGUCUAUGAAGGCCUCACUCAGAUAAGGGAUGUCUUUGACAUUUCUCACUCUUCAAUCUCAGGAAGGUACAUCAUCAACCAAAACAUUAUGAAUAUGAGUCAUCAUGAGGCAACUUGUUUAUGUUUUUUAUUCUUUUCUCAUUGGAAGGGAUUAAAAGAUAUGUAGUUGCAAGAUAAGAGAUGUAGCCAGUAGUGAGAGCAUCAAACAAUCCUUCUCUAAUGCAGACCAAAAAUUUUAGCAACUCGUGAUCUCUGCAAUUUAGAGCACUGAAGGAAGUUGGCCUGUUGGAAAGAUGUGACAUGACAUUUAGAAAUGUGCAAGAAUUCCAAAGAUCAUUUCAAUCAUUAAGGAAUCCAAAGCCCUAUAAUUUGAAUAGGGCAUCCACUUGGCAUGGAUAACGCACCUAUCUUGGGAAAAAGAUUGGGCACCAAUUCAAUCAUCAACUCUCUAUGAAACUUGAGAUACAAGGUGCCAAUGUUAGUUGCUUUCGUGGCAGUUCUUCUUUUACUGGUAUUAGGGCAAAGCCUUUUGAAAACCCUCAAUCUACAAAUUACCAAGGACAUGAGAUCAUGUUGUAAUCUCAUAAAAAUAAAAUAUAAAAAACAAAUAUUUUUUCACCCAUGAAUACUGUAACCAGCUUUUAAAAAACAUUAGGUAUUGAAAUAACCAAAUGUUCCUCAGGUAUUAAAGUUAAAGUUCAAAGUUACCAAGAGUGCUUUUUUGACCCAUGCAUAAAAUAAAAAGAAAAUAAGAAAGCAUAACAUAUAACUCAUAAUUGUGUCAAGUGUGAGUUCAAUUCAUGGUCAUGCACAAUUGCAUUAAGUAUUUAAAAGCUAAAUAUGGCUAUGUGCAAUUCAAAGAAUAUCAUACAACUCACAAUAGAAUCCUCACAACUCACCAUAGAAUGAGAACUCAAUUGUCUUUCUUCUAGUCAUAAGAGUUUGUGCUCUUCGAGCCUCUAACUUGCACAACUUAAGACAGCAAGACAUGCUAAAAAGUCUCUUUCACCUCAAACAUUAAUCAAAU
rnacentral:lncRNA from 1 species